GUUUAAUUUGAUGCAAAGCAAAGAAUCUCAUUAGGGCUUGACAUGCCGCGAAUCCUCUUGAAACAGAGGGGUGCCUUCGGGAAUGCAGACAUGAGUGGUGCAUGACUGUCGUCAGCUCAUGCUGUAAGGUAUUGGGUUAAGUCCCGCAACGAGCGCAAUCCUCGUGAUUAGUUGCCAUUGUUGAGUUUGAAACCCUGAAUAGAUUGUCGGUAAUAAGUCGGAGGAAAGUGAGGAUAAUGUCAAUUCAAGUUUCAAAUGUGAAAUAGACA
rnacentral:ncRNA from 1 species